CGCUGGCGGCGUGCCUAAGACAUGCAAGUCGUGCGAGAAAGCCACCUUCGGGUGGUGAGUAGAGCGGCGCACGGGUGAGUAACGCGUGGGUAGCCUGCCUUCGGGUCUGGGAUAACCUCGGGAAACUGGGGCUAAUACCGGAUGAGACCACGAUGUCCUCGGACUUCGCGGAAAAAGGUGGCCUCUUCAUGAAAGCUACCGCCUGGAGAUGAGCCCGCGUCCCAUUAGCUUGUUGGUGAGGUAACGGCUCACCAAGGCGACGAUGGGUAGCUGGUCUGAGAGGAUGAUCAGCCACACUGGAACUGAGACACGGUCCAGACUCCUACGGGAGGCAGCAGUCGGGAAUUUUGGGCAAUGGGCGAAAGCCUGACCCAGCAACGCCGCGUGAGGGAUGAAGGCCUUCGGGUCGUAAACCUCUGUCGGGAGGGAAGAACCGUCUUGGGUCGAACAGACCCGGGAUCUGACGGUACCUCCAAAGGAAGCGCCGGCUAACUCCGUG
rnacentral:rRNA from 1 species